CGGGUGACUGGUGCCUUCCGCCCAUUGGUUGUCGGCGUUGGUGGUCCCCGCUGAUUGUUCGGUGCUUUGGGAGACGGUGUGCGAUUGGCGGAGAGUGACGGUUCCCCUUGGAAACCGAUCGGCUGCAGCCUUUGAUUGGACGAACUUGUCCGACGUGGCCAGUGAUUGGUGUUGUGUUCGGAGCCGUAGUCUCCGGCCUUGGAAUAAAAAGUCUGCCCGGUGAUCACUGCCAUGGGCGUGACCUGAGCGGUACCGGUGGACUGCGACGGUGACCCGGGCGGCCCGAGUGACCCGGGCGCGACCUGAGUGACCAGGGCGUGACCCGAUCGAUUCGAGUGAUCCGAACGCGAUCCCAGUGGUCCGAGUAACCUGAGCGUGACCCGGGUGAUCUGAGUGACCCGGGCUGCGGCGGGGACGGCGCACCGUCCGGCCGUUGGGAGCCGCCGGGCCGUGACCUGACCGCGGCCGGUGCCGGGUGUAGCUGCUGGGCUGGUGCUCGGGCCAGCUGAACUCAGCUCAGCUCACCGCUGCCAGUAUGUCCGAAAAGCUCGGCCGCAAGAUUUCAUUUCGGUCGGACGCCAGCGCCAGCUUCCUGCGGGCGGCCCGAGGCGGCAACCUCGACAAGGUGCUGGACUACAUCAAGACCGGCACCGACAUCAACACCUGCAACCAGAAUGGGCUAAACGCGCUUCACCUGGCCAGCAAGGAGGGCCAUGGCCACAUUGUCAGUGAACUGCUCAACAGAGGGGCAAAUGUUGACGCAGUCACUAAGAAGGGCAACUCGGCACUGCACGUGGCCUCCCUAGCCGGUCAAGAGGAGAUUGUUCGCCUGCUGGUGCAGGCCGGUGCCAACGUGAACGCGCAGAGCCAGAAUGGCUUCACGCCGCUGUACAUGGCGGCCCAGGAGAACCACGACGCCGUCGUGCGGUACCUGCUGGCCAACGGCGCCAAUCAGAGCAUCGCCACAGAGGACGGCUUCACGCCGCUGGCGGUGGCGCUACAGCAGGGUCAUGACAAGGUGGUGGCCGUGCUGCUGGAGAACGACACGCGCGGCAAGGUGCGCCUGCCCGCCCUCCACAUCGCCGCCAAGAAGGACGACUGCAAGUCGGCCGUCCUCCUGCUACAGAACGACCACAAGUCUGACGUGACGAGCAAGUCCGGCUUCACGCCGCUGCACAUCGCCGCUCACUACGGCAACCAGAACAUCGCCGCCCUGCUGCUGGACAAGGGCGCCGACAUCAACUACAUGGCCAAGCACCACAUCACGCCGCUGCACGUGGCAGCCAAGUGGGGCAAGGCCAACAUGGUGACGCUGCUCUGCGAGCGGGGCGCCAACCAGGAAGCGAAGACGCGGGACGGCCUGACGCCGCUGCACUGCGCUGCCCGCUCCGGCCACGAGAACGUGGUCGACCUGCUGCUCGAGAAGGGCGCCUUCAUCUCGGCCAAGACCAAGAACGGCCUGACGCCGCUGCACAUGUCGGCCCAGGGCGACCACGUGGACGCUGCGCGCAUCCUCUUCUACCACAAAGCGCCCGUCGAUGACGUCACGGUCGACUACCUGACGGCGCUGCACGUGGCCGCACACUGUGGCCACGUCAAGGUGGCCAAGCUGCUGCUGGACCGACACGCCGACCCCAACUCGCGGGCGCUGAACGGCUUCACGCCGCUGCACAUCGCCUGCAAGAAGAACCGCAUCGAGGUGGUGGAGCUGCUGCUCAAGUACGGCGCCAACAUCGAGGCCACCACCGAGUCGGGCCUGACGCCACUUCACGUGGCCUCCUUCAUGGGCUGCAUGAACAUCGUCAUCUACCUGCUGCAGCACGACGCCAAACCUAACCACGCCACAGUGCGCGGCGAGACGCCGCUGCACCUGGCGGCGCGCGCCAACCAGGCCGACAUCAUCCGCAUCCUGCUGAGGAACAGGGCCGAGGUGGACGCCCGAGCUCGGGAGCAGCAGACACCUCUUCACAUUGCUGCCCGGCUGGGCAACGCCGACAUAGUGAUGAUGCUGCUGCAGCACGGCGCCGCCGUCGACUCGACCACCAAGGACCUGUACACGGCGCUGCACAUCGCCGCCAAGGAGGGCCAGGACGAGGUGGCGCAGGUGCUGAUGGAGCACGGCGCCUCGCUGUCGGCGGUGACCAAGAAGGGCUUCACGCCGCUCCACCUGGCGGCCAAGUACGGCAACAUCCGCGUGGCCAAGACGCUGCUGGCCAAGGACGCUCCGGUCGACGCCCAGGGCAAGAACGGCGUGACGCCGCUGCAUGUGGCGGCCCACUUCGACCACCAGCAGGUGGCGCUGCUGCUGCUGGAGAAGGGCGCCUCCGUCAGGGCCACGGCCAAGAACGGCUACACACCCCUGCAUAUCGCCGCCAAGAAGAACCAGAUGGACAUUGCCACCACGCUGCUGGAGUACGGCGCCGAGACCAACUGCGAGUCGAAGGCGGGCUUCACGCCGCUGCACCUGGCCGCCCAGGAGGGCCACGCCGACAUGGCCACGCUGCUGAUCGAGCACAAGGCCGACGCCAACCACCGCGCCAAGAACGGCCUGACGCCGCUGCACCUGUGCGCCCAAGAGGACCGGGUGCCGGUGGCGGCCAUCCUGGUGAAGAACGGCGCCGAGGUGGGCCCGGAGACGGCCGCCGGCUACACGCCGCUCCACGUGGCCUCGCACUUCGGCCAGCUGAACAUGGUCCGCUUCCUGCUGCAGCACCAGGCUGAGGUGAACCCGGUGACGUCGGCCGGCUACACGCCGCUGCACCAGGCCGCCCAGCAAGGACACACACUCAUCAUCAACCUGCUGCUCGAACACAAGGCCCAGCCGAAUGCCGUCACCAACUCGGGCCAGACGGCGCUCUCGAUCGCCCAGCGCCUCGGCUACAUCUCGGUGGUGGAGACGCUGAAGGUGGUGACGGAGACGGUCAUCACCACCACCACCACCACCGUCACUGAGGAGAAGUACAAGGUGGUGGCGCCCGAGACCAUGCAGGAGGCCUUCCUCAGCGACAGCGAGGACGAAGGAGGCGACGACUUCCUCGACUCGGCCGUGUACGGUAAACCGUCUAACGCCCAGCACGUGUACCUGCCCUAUUACGAGGGCCAGAUGGAGCUGAGCACCGAGGACCAGCCGCUGGGCGACUCAACCUACAAGUACCUGACGGUGGACGAGAUGAAGUCGCUCGGCGACGACUCCAUGCCCAUGGACACAUCCCGCGACGAGACGUUCGACCGCUCGCACGACUUCAACACAGACUGGAUCAACAACGCCCCGGCGAUCGAGGAGAUGAUUUCGCCGCAGAAGCUGAAGGAGUCAUAUGCCCAGUUCACGGGCAGCUUCGCGCCCGACAACGUCGACAUCUCGCGCUCGCCCGUCACGGCCGGCGUUUCCACGCACAGUCUGGACACCACGCUGUCUUGUUGCACCGCCACUAGCUUUGUCGGAAUGUUCCGCAGCAGGUUCCUGGUGAGCUUCAUGGUGGACGCCCGAGGCGGCGCCAUGCGCGGCUGCCGGCACUCGGGCGUGCGCGUCAUCGUGCCGCCCCGCAAGGCGGCCCAGCCCAUGCGCAUCACGUGCCGCUACCUGAAGAAAGACAAGUUGCUGCACCCGCCGCCUUUGAUGGAGGGCGAGGCGAUCGCCAGCCGCAUUCUGGAGAUGGGCCCGGCCCAGGCCAAAUUCCUCGGCCCGGUCAUUAUCGAGGUGCCGCACUUCGCGGCCCUCCGCGGCCGCGAGCGCGAGAUCGUCAUCCUGCGCUCCGACAACGGCGAGACCUGGAAGGAGCACACCCUGGAGGCGUCCGAGGAGGCCGUCCAGGAGGUGCUCAACGAGAGCUUCGACGGCGACGAGCUGAAGCAGCUGGAGGACCUCAACACCAGCCGCAUCACGCGCAUCGUCACCACCGACUUCCCGCAGUACUUCGCCAUCGUCAGCCGGCUUCGCCAGGAGGUGCACGCCAUCGGCACGGAGGGCGGCAUGGUGUCCAGCACGGUGGUGCCCCAGGUGCAGGCCGUCUUCCAGCCGGGCGCGCUCACCAAGAAGAUCAAGGUCGGCCUGCAGGCUCAGCCGAUCCCGCCCGAACUGGUGGCUAAGCUGCUCGGCAACCGAGUGGCCGUGUCCCCGAUCGUCACCAUCGAACCGCGCCGACGCAAGUUCCACAAGCCCAUCACGCUGACCAUCCCCGUGCCCCAAGCGGCCGCCAAGGGCAUGAUCAAUCAGUACAGCGGCGACGCGCCCACCUUGAGACUGUUGUGCUCGAUAACAGGUGGCACCACGCGCGCCCAGUGGGAGGACGUCACGGGCUCGACGCCGCUGACGUUCGUGAACGACUGCGUCUCCUUCACCACCACCGUGUCGGCCCGCUUCUGGCUGAUGGACUGCCGCAACGUGACCGAGGCCACGGCCAUGGCCACCGAGCUCUACAAGGAGGCCAUCCACGUGCCGUUCAUGGCCAAGUUUGUGGUGUUCGCGAAGCGGCACGACCCGCUGGAGGGACGCGUCCGCGUCUUCUGCAUGACGGACGACAAGGAGGAGAAGACGCUGGAGCAGCAGGAGCACUUCCUGGAGGUGGCCAAGAGCCGUGAUGUGGAGGUGCUGGAGGGCAAGCCGCUGUACCUCGAGUUCGCCGGCAACCUGCUGCCGGUCACCAAGUCGGGCGACCAGCUCAACUUCCAGUUCUACUCGUUCCGCGAGAACCGGAUGCCGUUCAACAUGCGUGUCAAGGACCACACGCAGGACCCGAUGGGCCGCGUCGCCUUCAUGCGCGAGAAGAAGCUGAGCCGCCAGGAUGCGCCCCAGGCGCCCAUCUGUAACCUGAACAUCCAGCUGCCGACGGACGUGUGCCCCGACCUGGACGUGUCGGCCGACAGCGAGCUGCUGCGGCAGCGGCUGACGCCGCACGCGGUGCGCCGCAUCGGCCGGCUCGUGACGCCGGAGAUCCACAGGGCUGACAUCCGCAUCACCGACAUCGCUCACAAGCUGGGCAAGGACUGGGUAGCGCUGGCGCCACACCUCGAGGUGCCCCAGUCGGACAUUGAGCUGAUUCAGACCGAGUACCCGGACGACUCGGCCCAGCAGGCCACUGUCAUGCUGCGGCUGUGGAUGAACAGCGCCGGCAACCAGGCCACCGGCAACACGCUGGCGCGAGGCCUGCAGGCCAUUCAGCGCGACGACAUCGUGACGGCCUGCAUCACAGACUCGGUCAUGGUGACGGACGCCAUGGAGGCGGCCAUGGCCAAGGCACGGCUCGACCAGUCAGGUUUCGACAGUCUGCGCGAGGAGCUGGGGCCCUCUCGCGACACCUCGUUCAGACCGGACCUGACGUACGACGACCGGGACAUCAUGAAGGAAGCCGAAAGCAUGGAAGACGUUCGCGUCUCCGAAGUUGAAAAAGUCGAGCCUGCCGCCACGCCGUCGGCCGACGCCGAGGAGCGCAAGUACGCGGCCGAGGAGAAGCCCGAGCCGACACGACGGCCGGUCCGGCCGCUGGCGCCGAUUGCGCCCAAAGACGGCCCGGCCACGGGCCAGGUCACCGUCACUGACCUGGUCAGCCCGGUCGACGACGAGCCGGCCAUCGCGCCCGUCCACCUCAGCUCGGCGGCCGUGGCGCCGGCCGACGAGCCCGAGCCCAAGCGGCGCUCCAUGGUGCUGCGCGAGCUGGGCGCCGCGCUGGCCGAGGUCGAGCGCAGCCAGCCGCCGCUGCCGGCGCACGAGCGGCCGUUCGGAGACGAGCCGGUGGUGGACGAGCCAGUCAUGGUGUCCGAGAAGAAGGGCCUCAAGUCGCCCACCACAGGCGGCCAUGAUCGUGCCGACCUCGGCCGUCCGCACACAAGCGGCUCCCGAUGGCAGUAAAACCACCGUACAGCAACAAACGAGCGAAUCCGUAACCGACGAUGGAAGACUUGUUCAGAAGUCAACGACCAUCACCACCACCACAGUCGGAGGUGACUCUGACUUGGCUCAGCGCCUCGCCUCUGAAGGUA